rnacentral:rRNA from 1 species
UACGUAGGGGGCAAGCGUUUGUCCGGAUUUAUUGGGCGUAAAGAGCGUGUAGGCGGCUAGAUAGGUCCGUUGUGAAAAACUCGAGGCUCAACCUCGAGACGUCGAUGGAAACCAUCUGGCUAGAGUCCGGAAGAGGAGAGUGGAAUUCCUGGUGUAGCGGUGAAAUGCGUAGAGAUCGUAAGGAAGACCAGUGGCGAAGGCGGGGUCUCUGGACAGUUCCUGACACUGAGGCACGAAGGCCAGGGGAGCAAACGGG